GAAGUGGAAGACGAGAGAUUAAGAGAAAAUAAUUAAAAAGACAUAAAAAUGGCUUUGGGUGGCCACUGUAUGAUCAUUGAAUGUCCCAGGAGGAUCCCGGGAGAGGGAAGGUAAAGAUGGAGGGAGAAAGAAUUGAAGGGAGGAAGAAAAGUAAAGGAGAAUAAAAGGGCGGGAGGGACAGACACCCACACACACCACGCCGAGGCAGAAAUGGAUUUUGCAGAAAUGACACUGCUCAGUUGGGCUUCGCAAACACGCCCUUGGCCGCGGGCCAGGCAGCGCCCGGACUAUCAAAGGGUGAAGUUACACCAUUAUCGAAUUUCCCCUCCCUGGAGCCUCUGGAAGUCGUUGCCAGGAACGUCAGGGGGAAAUCCAUCCCUUUGUCUCUCCUUUUCCCCGGUGGACGUGAUUUCGUGUCUCCUCCGCGGGGCCCCUCCGGCAGGAUGCGGAGGGGUGAGGCGCGGGAGGCGGGCAAGCCGCGGGGCGAGGAGAGGCGCUGUGUGCUGGGGGGUCGCCAGGCCGCAAGUGAGCCCUGAACGCAGGGGCCGGGGAGGUGGGGAGGGGAGCCCCAAGCCUGAGCUCAAGGCCACCUCCUCCGAGGCCCGGGCCAGGUGCGCGGGGGCCGACAGGCUCGUGGGUGGGCGCCGGCAGGGGGCUCCCCGCGGGCCCGCCCCCCACGAUCCCCGGCGUCACGGCGCCUCUGCCCCCCCCCCGAGCUCGCCCGCGCCGGGCCUCCCGAGAACAGGCUCGGGCUCCGGAGAGCAGGCAGUCCCACCUCGGGCCGCCAGGCCGCGCGCGCGGGCAGCUUCCAAGCUGCUGGCCAAGCUGCUGCCGCUCGGGACGAGGCCUGGGCGGCCCCCGCCCUCUCCGGUCUGGAAAUAACGUUACUACAGAGGAACUUGAGGGCCGCCUAGUGGAAGGCUUUAUUCACAAGGACAAAAGAGAGUUUGGCAGGUUGGCAAAGGGCCUCUUGAAGCCAUCAGCUGUGGGUGGGGUAUAGCCGCUGAGACACGCCCAGGAGAGAGGCGGGUCUCUGCUUCACUGGACCCAGGACAGUUUGCUGACCAAUCGCAUAACAUUCUCUGGACCAGAAGCUUUUGCUGCAUCAAGUACUGGCUCACAGGUUCUGGGGCUGAGUGGUGGCUGUUUUCAGGGGCCCAGGGAUGCCAGGAGGUGCGGCUCUACGGCUGUCACUGGGUAGAGUCAAGAGAACUGCCAAAGUAAGCAGCCUGCUUGCAGUGGGAAGACUCAGAGCCAAGCCUCUAGGGGAAGUUGUGGGGCUUCCCACUCAAAUUUCAAGUGGGAAAACUUCAGCCACCUUGUAUAGAUUCCUUCAAUCCUGUGUUCUAGCCAGGCCCUGCUGCUCUAGCAAAGGGGCUGAGCCCUUUACCUUUUGGUGCCCACAUGGGACCAAGUGUGACCAGGUAGUCCUGGGCGAGUCCCUUCUAGCUGGGCUUAGGUUUUCUCAUUUAAAAACUGACCUCUCCAGAGCUUCCCAGUGAGGGCCUGUUGUUUUCCUAACAGCAGGUAUACAAAGUCAAGAUCACCAAAUUGCCUAUUGGUGGGGAGAGUGGAAGAUGGAAACAUGAAGCAUUGCCUUCCCCACAUCAGCAGGCAGGGCGUUGAACCCACUCCUAUAGAGUUGUGGGAAUCCCCAGGCUUCCCUCAGCGUUUUGAUUCCCCCUCUCCACAAUUUCAGAACAAAUGGGUUUUCCAAUAGUAAAACCAAACCUAGAUGCAAAAAAAUUAUUUGUAAGUGGUGUGGAUUGAGUAAUAUAUAGGAAAAAUGCCCAAUUUAUACUAUUUUUUUUUAAGUACAUUAGUUGUGGAUAAAAUGAGAGUUCCUGUGGCCAGGAUUCUCACGUGGCCAUGAUUGACUAGCUCACUGCACACCUGUGGGCAAUACAUGGCUGUUGACUCUAUAUAAAGAGCUCUGCCCAGUGCUCUGGGCACAACACGGUGGCAGGGCUGCAAGGCUGCAGGAGAGCAGAGCAGAGGCUGGAGUGGUGGCAGCACUGAGUACAGAGGCCCAGAGGACGGCUGUGCGGGACAACUGUGCAGAGAAGCCCAGAGGACGGCUGUGCAGACAGAGAGGCCCAGAGGCAGAGACCGGCUUGCUACAUACAGACUCGCUCUGAGUGAAUGGGAUUCUAGUGACUGACCUGCCACCUGGAAAUAAAGUUGGGUAUAAUCCUUUCACUCCAAAGAA